CUAGGAAUAUUGGGAAUGGGCGAAAGCCUGACCCAGCAACGCCGCGUGGGCGAUGAAGGCCUUCGGGUCGUAAAGCCCUUUUGCAAGGGAAGAUGAUGACGGUACCUUGCGAAUAAGCCACGGCUAACUACGUGCCAGCAGCCGCGGUAAUACGUAGGUGGCAAGCGUUGUCCGGAUUUACUGGGCGUAAAGGGCGUGCAGGCGGUCUUCUAAGUUCGGGGUGAAAGCUCCCGGCUCAACCGGGAGAGGUCCUCGGAUACUGGAAGACUUGAGGGUGGCAGAGGAAAGUGGAAUUCCCGGUGUAGUGGUGAUAUGCGUAGAUAUCGGGAGGAACACCAGUGGCGAAGGCGGCUUUCUGGGCCUUUCCUGACGCUGAGACGCGAAAGCGUGGGGAGCGAACCGGAUUAGAUACCCCCGUAGUCC
rnacentral:rRNA from 1 species